rnacentral:rRNA from 1 species
AAAGGGUGCGUAGGCGGUUUAUUAAGUCAGUGGUGAAAGACGGUCGCUCAACGAUUGCAGUGCCAUUGAUACUGGUAGACUUGAGUGAGAUUGAGGUAGCUGGAAUGGAUAGUGUAGCGGUGAAAUGCAUAGAUAUUAUCCAGAACACCAAUUGCGUAGGCAAGUUACUAAGUCUCAACUGACGCUGAGGCACGAAAGUGUGGGUAUCAAACAGGAUUAGAUACCCCGGU